GAAAGAGCAAAAUCCUUGCACAGAAAAGAUGGGAUCAAAUCUGGUAGAGACCAUAACAAGAUAGGAGUAAAGAUCAACAUCCAGUGAAGCAGGAGACAAUGCAGAAAAGGAUGCGUGUGAACAGCAGGAACACUUUGUGAUUUUCCAAAAAUACACCAUGGAUUUCUGUAUGAUGAAGAAGAUUAUAACCCUUUUUCCCAAGUUCCUACAGGGGAAGUUUUCUAUUACUCCUGUGAAUAUAAUUUUGUGUCUCCUUCAAAAUCCUUUUGGACUCGCAUAACAUGCACAGAAGAAGGAUGGUCACCAACACCGAAGUGUCUCAGAAUGUGUUCCUUUCCUUUUGUGAAAAAUGGUCAUUCUGAAUCUUCAGGACUAAUACAUCUGGAAGGUGAUACUGUACAAAUUAUUUGCAACACAGGAUACAGCCUUCAAAACAAUGAGAAAAACAUUUCGUGUGUAGAACGGGGCUGGUCCACUCCUCCCAUAUGCAGCUUCACUAAAGGAGAAUGUCAUGUUCCAAUUUUAGAAGCCAAUGUAGAUGCUCAGCCAAAAAAAGAAAGCUACAAAGUUGGAGACGUGUUGAAAUUCUCCUGCAGAAAAAAUCUUAUAAGAGUUGGAUCAGACUCAGUUCAAUGUUACCAAUUUGGGUGGUCACCUAACUUUCCAACAUGCAAAGGACAAGUACGAUCAUGUGGUCCACCUCCUCAACUCUCCAAUGGUGAAGUUAAGGAGAUAAGAAAAGAGGAAUAUGGACACAAUGAAGUAGUGGAAUAUGAUUGCAAUCCUAAUUUUAUAAUAAACGGGCCUAAGAAAAUACAAUGUGUGGAUGGAGAAUGGACAACUUUACCCACUUGUGUUGAACAAGUGAAAACAUGUGGAUACAUACCUGAACUCGAGUACGGUUAUGUUCAGCCGUCUGUCCCUCCCUAUCAACAUGGAGUUUCAGUCGAGGUGAAUUGCAGAAAUGAAUAUGCAAUGAUUGGAAAUAACAUGAUUACCUGUAUUAAUGGAAUAUGGACAGAGCUUCCUAUGUGUGUUGCAACACACCAACUUAAGAGGUGCAAAAUAGCAGGAGUUAAUAUAAAAACAUUACUCAAGCUAUCUGGGAAAGAAUUUAAUCAUAAUUCUAGAAUACGUUACAGAUGUUCAGACAUCUUCAGAUACAGGCACUCAGUCUGUAUAAACGGGAAAUGGAAUCCUGAAGUAGACUGCACAGAAAAAAGGGAACAAUUCUGCCCACCGCCACCUCAGAUACCUAAUGCUCAGAAUAUGACAACCACAGUGAAUUAUCAGGAUGGAGAAAAAGUAGCUGUUCUCUGUAAAGAAAACUAUCUACUUCCAGAAGCAAAAGAAAUUGUAUGUAAAGAUGGACGAUGGCAAUCAUUACCACGCUGUGUUGAGUCUACUGCAUAUUGUGGGCCCCCUCCAUCUAUUAACAAUGGAGAUACCACCUCAUUCCCAUUAUCAGUAUAUCCUCCAGGGUCAACAGUGACGUACCGUUGCCAGUCCUUCUAUAAACUCCAGGGCUCUGUAACUGUAACAUGCAGAAAUAAACAGUGGUCAGAACCACCAAGAUGCCUAGAUCCAUGUGUGGUAUCUGAAGAAAACAUGAACAAAAAUAACAUACAGUUAAAAUGGAGAAACGAUGGAAAACUCUAUGCAAAAACAGGGGAUGCUGUUGAAUUCCAGUGUAAAUUCCCACAUAAAGCGAUGAUAUCAUCACCACCAUUUCGAGCAAUCUGUCAGGAAGGGAAAUUUGAAUAUCCUAUAUGUGAAUGAAGCAAGCAUAAUUUUCCUGAAUAUAUUCUUCAAACAUCCAUCUAUGCUAAAAGUAGCCAUUAUGUAGCCAAUUCUGUAGUUACUUCUUUUAUUCUUUCAGGUGUUGUUUAACUCAGUUUUAUUUAGAACUCUGGAUUUUUAGAGCUUUAGAAAUUUGUAAGCUGAGAGAACAAUGUUUCACUUAAUAGGAGGGUGUCUUAGUCCAUAUUACAUUGUUAUAACAGAGUAUCACAGACUGGAUAACUUCUAACCAAUAGUUUAUUUGUUUCAUAAAUCUAAAAGCUGAGAAGUCCAAGAUGGUGGGGCUGCCUCUGGUGAGGGUCUUCUCGAAGCAUCAUAAUAUGCUGGAAGGCAUCACAACAUGGUGGAAGGGAUCACGUGGCAAAAGAGCAUGUACAUGGGAGUGAGAGAAAAAGAGAGAGAGAGACAGAGUGGCGGGGGCGGGGAGGAGCGCAAACUCAUCCUUUAUAAAGACACCACUCCUGAGAUAACAAUCCAAUCCCAUGAUAAUGACAUUAAUCCAUUCAAGAAGAUAGAGCUCUCGUGACUUAAUCACCUUCUAAAGAUCUCACCUGACAACACUGUUGCAUUGGCA
rnacentral:misc_RNA from 1 species